rnacentral:rRNA from 1 species
UACGGAGGGUGCAAGCGUUGUUCGGAAUUAUUGGGCGUAAAGAGCGUGUAGGCGGCCAGGUAGGUCUGCUGUGAAAACUCGAGGCUCAACCUCGAGACGUCGGCGGAAACCAUCUGGCUAGAGUCCGGAAGAGGAGAGUGGAAUUCCUGGUGUAGCGGUGAAAUGCGCAGAUAUCAGGAAGAACACCCGUGGCGAAGGCGGCUCUCUGGGACGGUACUGACGCUGAGACGCGAAAGCGUGGGGAGCGAACAGG